rnacentral:rRNA from 1 species
CAGCGCCACAAGUGGCAAUCACGAUUAUUGGGCCUAAAGCGUUCGUAGCCGGUUCAGUAAAUCUUUUGUGAAAUCGUAUAGCUCAACUAUACGGCGUGCAGAAGACACUGCUGAACUAGAGACCGGGAGGAGUCAGAGGUAUGCUGGGGGGACCGGUAAAAUGGGAUAAUCCUCAGUAGACCACCGAUGGCGAAGGCAUCUGACCAGAACGGAUCUGACGGUGAGGGACGAAAGCCAGGGGAGCGAACCGGAUUAGAUACCCGUGUAGUCC